rnacentral:rRNA from 1 species
AGAGUUUGAUCAUGGCUCAGAGCGAACGCUGGCGGCAGGCCUAAUACAUGCAAGUCGAACGGUCUCUUCGGAGGCAGUGGCGACGGGUGAGUAACGCGUGGGAACGUGCCCUUUGGUACGGAACAACUGAGGGAAACUUCAGCUAAUACCGUAUGUGCCCUUCGGGGGAAAGAUUUAUCGCCAUUGGAGCGGCCCGCGUUGGAUUAGCUAGUUGGUGGGGUAAUGGCCCACCAAGGCGACGAUCCAUAGCUGGUCUGAGAGGAUGAUCAGCCACACUGGGACUGAGACACGGCCCAGACUCCUACGGGAGGCAGCAGUAGGGAAUCUUGCGCAAUGGGCGAAAGCCUGACGCAGCCAUGCCGCGUGAAUGAUGAAGGUCUUAGGAUUGUAAAAUUCUUUCACCGGGGACGAUAAUGACGGUACCCGGAGAAGAAGCCCCGGCUAACUUCGUG